rnacentral:rRNA from 1 species
AACGAACGCUGGCGGCAUGCCUAACACAUGCAAGUCGAACGAGACCUUCGGGUCAAGUGGCGCACGGGUGCGUAACGCGUGGGAACCUGCCCUUAGGUUCGGAAUAACUCCCCGAAAGGGGUGCUAAUACCGGAUAAUGUCUUCGGACCAAAGAUUUAUCGCCUUUGGAUGGGCCCGCGUUGGAUUAGCUAGUUGGUAGGGUAAAAGCCUACCAAGGCGACGAUCCAUAGCUGGUCUGAGAGGAUGAUCAGCCACACUGGGACUGAGACACGGCCCAGACUCCUACGGGAGGCAGCAGUGGGGAAUAUGGACAAUGGGCGAAAGCCUGAUCCAGCAAUGCCGCGUGAGUGAUGAAGGCCUUAGGGUUGUAAAGCUCUUUUACCCGGGAUGAUAAUGACAGUACCGGGAGAAUAAGCUCCGGCUAACUCCGUG